rnacentral:rRNA from 1 species
UUCAUGGAGAGUUUGAUCCUGGCUCAGGACGAACGCUGGCGGCGUGCCUAAUACAUGCAAGUCGAGCGGACCGACGGGAGCUUGCUCCCUUAGGUCAGCGGCGGACGGGUGAGUAACACGUGGGUAA